rnacentral:rRNA from 1 species
GACGAACGCUGGCGGCGUGCUUAACACAUGCAAGUCGAACGGAAAGGCCCCCUUGUGGGGUACUCGAGUGGCGAACGGGUGAGUAACACGUGAGUAACCUACCCUUGACUUUGGGAUAACUUCAGGAAACUGGGGCUAAUACCGGAUAGGAGCUCCUGCUGCAUGGUGGGGGUUGGAAAGUUUCGGCGGUUGGGGAUGGACUCGCGGCUUAUCAGCUUGUUGGUGGGGUAGUGGCUCACCAAGGCUUUGACGGGUAGCCGGCCUGAGAGGGUGACCGGCCACAUUGGGACUGAGAUACGGCCCAGACUCCUACGGGAGGCAGCAGUGGGGAAUAUUGCACAAUGGGCGGAAGCCUGAUGCAGCAACGCCGCGUGCGGGAUGACGGCCUCGGUUGUAACCGCUUCGUCCUCGUGACGAAGCGUGAGUGACGGUAAUGGGUAAAGAAGCACCGGCUAACUACGUGCCAGCAGCCGCGGUAA